CGAGAAAGCGUUGCCGCAGGCAACGACCCGAAGGGCGAAGCGCGCAGCGCGGAGUCAUCCUUCCCCCACCACCA
rnacentral:sRNA from 1 species